UACGAAGGGGGCAAGCGUUGUUCGGAAUUACUGGGCGUAAAGCGCUCGCAGGCGGAUCGAUAAGUCAGGGGUGAAAUCCCGGGGCUCAACCUCGGAAUUGCCUUUGAUACUGUCAAUCUCGAGUCCGGGAGAGGUGAGUGGAAUUCCUAGUGUAGAGGUGAAAUUCGUAGAUAUUAGGAAGAACACCAGUGGCGAAGGCGGCUCACUGGCCCGGAACUGACG
rnacentral:rRNA from 1 species